rnacentral:rRNA from 1 species
AGAGUUUGAUCCUGGCUCAGAGCGAACGCUGGCGGCAGGCUUAACACAUGCAAGUCGAGCGCCCGUAGCAAUACGGGAGCGGCAGACGGGAGAGUAACACGUGGGAACGUACCCUUCGGUUCGGAAUAACCCAGGGAAACUUGGGCUAAUACCGGAUACGUCCGUAAGGAGAAAGAUUUAUCGCCGAAGGAUCGGCCCGCGUCCGAUUAGCUCGUUGGUGAGGUAAUGGCUCACCAAGGCGACGAUCGGUAGCUGGUCUGAGAGGAUGAUCAGCCUCACUGGGACUGAGACACGGCCCAGACUCCUACGGGAGGCAGCAGUGGGGAAUAUUGGACAAUGGGCGCAAGCCUGAUCCAGCCAUGCCGCGUGGGUGAUGAAGGCCUUAGGGUUGUAAAGCCCUUUCGGCGGGGAAGAUAAUGACGGUACCCGCAGAAGAAGCCCCGGCUAACUUCGUGCCAGCAGCCGCGGUAAUACGAAGGGGGCUAGCGUUGCUCGGAAUC